GCCUACGGGGGGCAGCAGUGGGGAAUAUUGCACAAUGGGCGCAAGCCUGAUGCAGCGACGCCGCGUGGGGGAUGACGGCCUUCGGGUUGUAAACCUCUUUCAGUGGGGAUGAAGCCUUGCUCUUGUGGGGUGGGGUGACGGUACCUGCAGAAGAAGCACCGGCUAACUACGUGCCAGCAGCCGCGGUAAUACGUAGGGUGCGAGCAUUGUCCGGAAUUAUUGGGCGUAAAGAGCUCGUAGGCGGCUUGUUGCGUCGGAUGUGAAAGCCCGGGGCUUAACUUCGGGUCUGCAUUCGAUACGGGCAGGCUAGAGUUCGGUAGGGGAGAUCGGAAUUCCUGGUGUAGCGGUGAAAUGCGCAGAUAUCAGGAGGAACACCGGUGGCGAAGGCGGAUCUCUGGGCCGAUACUGACGCUGAGGAGCGAAAGCGUGGGGAGCGAACAGGAUUAGAAACCCGUGUAGUCC
rnacentral:rRNA from 1 species